CCCUUAGAUGUUCUGGGCCGCACGCGCGCUACAAUGGUCUUCGCAAACGGAUGCAUUCUCGAAGGAGAAUGCCAAUCUUGGAAUCUAUGCCUUGGUCGGGACAGUUGCUUGCAAUUUUUCGACUCGAACCAGGAAUUCCUUGUAAUCGUGAUUCAUCACAUCACGAUGAAUACGUCCCUGCCCUUUGUACACACCGCCCGUCGCUGCCCGGAACUGAGCCGUUUCGAGAAAGCCGGGGACCGACGACUUGUGGGUGCGCAAGCACUUCUAGUCGAUGGAAACCAGUUUAAUCGGUAUGGCUUGAACCGGGCAAAAGUCGUAACA
rnacentral:rRNA from 1 species